rnacentral:rRNA from 1 species
AUGAACGCUGGCGGCGUGGAUAAGGCAUGCAAGUCGAGCGGAUCCCGCACCUUAGCAAUAAGGUGAGGGAUCAGCGGCGAACGAGUUAGUAAUACCUUGGAACGUACUCCGAAGACGGGGAUAACCCACCGAAAGGUGGACUAAUACCCGAUGGUCUCGCAAGAGUAAAGUCGUAAGACACUUCGGAAGCGGCCUAGGUCCUAUCAGCUUGUUGGCGGGGUAACGGCCCACCAAGGCUACGACGGGUAGGGGGUGUGAGAGCACGGCCCCCAACGAUGACACUGCGAUACGGGUCAUACACCUACGGGUGGCUGCAGUCGAGAAUAUUCGACAAUGGGCGAAAGCCUGAUCGAGCGACGCCGCGUGCGGGAAGAAGCAGCUUUGCUGUGUAAACCGCUUUUGCGUGGGAAGAACUUUGACGGUACCACGAGAAUAAGGGGUUGCUAACCUCGU